CAGCAGUGGGGAAUAUUGGCACAAUGGGCGCAAGCCUGAUGCAGCCAUGCCGCGUGUAUGAAGAAGGCCUUCGGGUUGUAAAGUACUUUCAGCAGUGAGGAAGUGGGUAUGGUUAAUAGCAUACUCAUUUGACGUUAGCUGCAGAAGAAGCACCGGCUAACUCCGUGCCAGCAGCCGCGGUAAUACGGAGGGUGCGAGCGUUAAUCAGAAUUACUGGGCGUAAAGCGCAUGCAGGUGGUUUGUUAAGUCAGAUGUGAAAGCCCGGGGCUCAACCUCGGAAUUGCAUUUGAAACUGGCAAACUAGAGUACUGUAGAGGGGGUAGAAUUUCAGGUGUAGCGGUGAAAUGCGUAGAGAUCUGAAGGAAUACCGGUGGCGAAGGCGGCCCCCUGGACAGAUACUGACACUCAGAUGCGAAAGCGUGGGGAGCAAACAGGAUUAGAUACCCUGGUAG
rnacentral:rRNA from 1 species